CUGUGAGCUCGAUGAGUAGGGCGGGACACGUGGUAUCCUGUCUGAAUAUGGGGGGACCAUCCUCCAAGGCUAAAUACUCCUGACUGACCGAUAGUGAACCAGUACCGUGAGGGAAAGGCGAAAAGAACCCCGGCGAGGGGAGUGAAAAAGAACCUGAAACCGUGUACGUACAAGCAGUGGGAGCACGCUUAGGCGUGUGACUGCGUACCUUUUGUAUAAUGGGUCAGCGACUUAUAUUCUGUAGCAAGGUUAACCGAAUAGGGGAGCCGAAGGGAAACCGAGUCUUAACUGGGCGUUAAGUUGCAGGGUAUAGACCCGAAACCCGGUGAUCUAGCCAUGGGCAGGUUGAAGGUUGGGUAACACUAACUGGAGGACCGAACCGACUAAUGUUGAAAAAUUAGCGGAUGACUUGUGGCUGGGGGUGAAAGGCCAAUCAAACCGGGAGAUAGCUGGUUCUCCCCGAAAGCUAUUUAGGUAGCGCCUCGUGAAUUCAUCUCCGGGGGUAGAGCACUGUUUCGGCAAGGGGGUCAUCCCGACUUACCAACCCGAUGCAAACUGCGAAUACCGGAGAAUGUUAUCACGGGAGACACACGGCGGGUGCUAACGUCCGUCGUGAAGAGGGAAACAACCCAGACCGCCAGCUAAGGUCCCAAAGUCAUGGUUAAGUGGGAAACGAUGUGGGAAGGCCCAGAC
rnacentral:rRNA from 1 species